rnacentral:snRNA from 1 species
AUACUUACCUGGCGUAGAGGUCAACCGUGAUCACUAAGGCGGUUCCUCCAGGGUGAGGCUCUUCCAUUGCACUAAGGUUGAGCUGACCUCUGCGAAUGCUCCUAACGUGGGUAUCUCGGACGUAUAAUUUUUGGUAGUCGGGACUGCGUUCGCGCUCUCCCGU